CAGUAGCCACGGGAAUACAGAGGGUGCGAGCGUUAAUCGGAUUUACUGGGCGUAAAGCGUGCGUAGGCGGCUUUUUAAGUCGGAUGUGAAAUCCCUGAGCUUAACUUAGGAAUUGCAUUCGAUACUGGGAAGCUAGAGUAUGGGAGAGGAUGGUAGAAUUCCAGGUGUAGCGGUGAAAUGCGUAGAGAUCUGGAGGAAUACCGAUGGCGAAGGCAGCCAUCUGGCCUAAUACUGACGCUGAGGUACGAAAGCAUGGGGAGCAAACAGGAUUAGAUACCCCAGUAGCCCUGUCUCUUAUACA
rnacentral:rRNA from 1 species